rnacentral:rRNA from 1 species
AACGAGAGAUGAGGAGCUUGCUCUUCAAAUCGAGUGGCGAACGGGUGAGUAACGCGUGAGGAACCUGCCUCAAAGAGGGGGACAACAGUUGGAAACGACUGCUAAUACCGCAUAAGCCCACGGCUCGGCAUCGAGCAGAGGGAAAAGGAGUGAUCCGCUUUGAGAUGGCCUCGCGUCCGAUUAGCUAGUUGGUGAGGUAAUGGCCCACCAAGGCGACGAUCGGUAGCCGGACUGAGAGGUUGAACGGCCACAUUGGGACUGAGACACGGCCCAGACUCCUACGGGAGGCAGCAGUGGGGAAUAUUGCACAAUGGGGGAAACCCUGAUGCAGCGACGCCGCGUGGAGGAAGAAGGUCUUCGGAUUGUAAACUCCUGUUGUUGAGGAAGAUAAUGGCGGUACUCAACAAGGAAGUGACGGCUAACUACGUGCCAGCAGCCGCGGUAAAACGUAGGUCACAAGCGUUGUCCGGAAUUACUGGGUGUAAAGGGAGCGCAGGCGGGAGAACAAGUUGGAAGUGAAAUCCAUGGGCUCAACCCAUGAACUGCUUUCAAAACUGUUUUUCUUGAGUAGUGCAGAGGUAGGCGGAAUUCCCGGUGUAGCGGUGGAAUGCGUAGAUAUCGGGAGGAACACCAGUGGCGAAGGCGGCCUACUGGGCACCAACUGACGCUGAGGCUCGAAAGUGUGGGUAGCA